GGGCUGCGGGGAGGCGGCAGCGGGGCGCGGGGGCCCGGCCCGGGCCCAGCCUCAGCCUGUCCCGUAAGCCGGGGUGAGCCGGUGCCCUCGGGCCCGGUUCUCCUUCCCUGCGGAACCCGCUGGCCUGUGGCGGUGGGGGGGUGGAUGCCGGUGCCGCGAUUACCGGUGGCUUUAGUUAGAGUGUAAUAAACGUCCCCUCCCGUCAGGCUGCGCCGGAGCGGUGCUCGGGGCGAGCAGCGGGUCUCGGUUGUGACUCCGGGCCGGCCCUGUGGGGGUUCGCCCCGGCCUCUCGCUCCCGGGACAGGAGGGGACGCUGGUGCGACCGCGGCGUGUGGCAGUGCCGGGCUGCGGCCGGCCGAGGCCCCGUCUUCGCCCUCUGUAGCGUGGGAAUGAUGGGGCGGAGGAUUUUCCUGCUGCAGCUCUGAGAUUUGAUAAGCAGAAAUUGAGGUUGAUAUGCAAAAGAAAAUACGUGCAAAGCUGAUGUCUGGCUGGAGAAAUGCUCUGAAGAAUCACUUCAAAACAAGCGGUGCUGGCAAGAUGCUGGUCUCCCUGCUCUUCCCCCAAGUGAGCCGACCCCUUCGAUGCCUCAUCCGGGACUUGCACCGUUGCAGAUGGGGGUUGCGUUGGAAGAAGAGGGCUGGAUGUCCCCUCAGGGGUCUGCAAACUGCACGGGCAGCCUGCAGCAGUGAUGUUACCCCUGUCUUCACUAGAGCUUUGGCUUUUGGCGAUAAAAUCGCCAUCGUUGACCAAAACGGUGAGCACACUUACAGGGACCUUCUCAGCCAGAGUCUACGCUUGUCCCAGGAGAUCUGUAGAGCUCUGGAGUGCUCCAGCAGGGACUUGAAGGAAGAGAGGAUCUCGUUUUUGUGUCCCAAUGAUGCCUCAUAUGUGGUGGCCCAGUGGGCUUCAUGGAUGAGUGGGGGCAUAGCAGUGCCCCUUUACAAGAAACAUCCUGUGCAGGAGCUGGAGUACGUGAUUCAGGAUUCGCAGAGCGCUCUGGUCAUCGCAGCAGAGGAAUAUGUGGGGAAAAUAGCCCCUAGCGCUGAGAAGCUGGGAGUCCCGGUUCUGCCGCUUCUUAGGUCUCAUAGAGAUGGAUCCACAAGUCAUGCAGCAGUGGAAGAGGGUCCCUUGACAACCUGCUCCUCAUGGAAGGACAGAGGAGCCAUGAUAAUCUACACUAGUGGGACGACGGGAAGACCGAAAGGUGUCCUCAGCACCCAUGAGAACGUUCAAGCUGUGACCACAGGGCUGGUUGAAAAAUGGGAGUGGAAGGAGGAGGAUGUUAUUCUGCACGUGCUGCCUUUACAUCAUGUCCAUGGGGUGAUCAAUAAGCUCCUGUGUCCUCUCUGGGUGGGAGCAACAUGCAUCAUGUUACCCGAAUUCAGCGCACAGAUGGUUUGGAAUAAGUUCCUAAGCUCCGAAGCUCCCCGUAUCAGUGUCUUCAUGGCAGUGCCCACUAUCUAUGCCAAGUUGAUAGAGUAUUACGACAAACAUUUCACUCAGCUGCAAGUCCAGGAUUUUGUGCGUGCCUUUUGCCAGCAGAACAUCAGAUUAAUGGUGUCGGGCUCAGCAGCCCUGCCUGUGCCUGUCCUGGAGAAGUGGAAGAGCAUCACUGGGCACACCUUGCUGGAGAGGUAUGGGAUGACUGAGAUUGGGAUGGCGCUUUCUAACCCUUUGCAUGGAGUCCGUGUCCCAGGUUCUGUGGGCACCCCGCUUCCAGGGGUGGAAGUGCGUAUUGUCACUGAGACCUUGAAAAACGGUGGUCGUUCCUACACCAUCCAUGCUCAGGGAGAUGAACACCGCACACAGGUGACACCAGAUCUGGAGGGCCAGGAAGGGGAGCUGCUCGUGAAGGGACCCUCCGUCUUCCGCGAGUACUGGAACAGACCCAGAGAAACAGCAGAUGCCUUCACGCCCGACGGCUGGUUCAAAACAGGUCUGUGACGUGCUGAAGGGAUGGAGAGGCUCCUGGUCACGCUGAGCUACGUGUGCAGUGCGUACCCAGAACUGAGGAACAGCACCUCUGCAGAGGGCAGGCAGGAGCCGGGAUGCUGCCAGACGCCGUCGAGGUCUGAUUUUCUGUUAAUCCCUUUGGUGCUGUCCUCUCCUGGCUGAAAGCUGGUGCCCAGGACUUUGUCUGCUGGCUUAUGUCACGUAAGGGGUCUGACGCCAACCCGAGCCAAGGCUGGAGCAGGGACCAUACGCAGCAAUCCCCAGGGCCCUGAAACGAUACUGUGGAGGCAGAGCACUCCGAUUGAGCAAGGUGUCCCAGGAGAAAAGUCCUCUCGAGAGCGGGGGCAGGUCUGUGCGGUGGCAUGAGCCCAUCACAGCGGUGGGGGUCGUAGGGCAGAGCACGGAGGGGGGAUUUGCACCGAACAGGCUUCAGGAUGGCGAAGGAAAUACGAUGUGCAAGCAAACGGCGAGGGCAGACGCGGGUGCAGCAGCAUCCUGGCUUCUCACCCUGCUGCCUGAGAGGUACGAUAAACUCAAGGAACCCUUAAAAACUACAGCUGUGAGAGGCGGGUAUCACCAAUUUAUCAGCCAAGGCAGGGGGUAGCUGCACUCCUCAUGUGUCCAGCAGCAAGUCCCCGACUGCCCCUGUCCCCUCGCUGGAAGCAGAGUGGGGGAGAUCACGGCUCGGGAUUACUGGGUUGAAAUCAGACCUGUCUUUAUCUGCAGCUUUCUCCUCCCAGGUACUGGAGAUGCUGCCAGCGUUCCCCGCACCGCUCCAUCUCCCGCUCCACCGGCACAGCCGUAGCGUGGGGAGGAGUGCCUUAUUAGCACAGCUCUUUGUGAGAUGCCCUUGAGUGUUUUGUUGUUUUUUUUUUUUUUCCACGUGUAAAUGCCAGGGGAGGCUGUACCAGUGCUUCACAUUCUUUCAUCUCGGCAGGGUUUUGCCCUUUCUCCCAGCGUGGCUCUGACAGCAGGCUCAGCGCUGCUGCCUGUGGAAUACAAACAAACUUCCCCAUUGCGGGGCAUGACAGGAAUUCAUUCCAGGCUGGGUUGUUGGGGCUUUUUUUUUUUUUUCCUGCUUUUCUUUUUUUCUCAUGCUGGAUGCUCCAGCGGUCUCUGGAGAAGUUUUGAGAGUGGGGAAUCAGUUGCUUACCCCCCUCUCUCCUGGGGCCAGGCAGCUCGCAGCAGACCCGACAGCUCUCGCAGAUGGGGAGGAUUGCAAAGCAGCUUGAAGCUGCAAUGCAAUUCCCAUCCCCUGACCGAGUCAGGGGAGAGGAACCGACACAUUGAGAUGUCUGCAUCCCUCCAUCUCUUAGUACCAGCCAUGAGGGCAGUUGGAGGGUCUGUUCCCCGCUUGCUGAGCACGCCGCGCCUGCCAUUAAUGCUAAUGGGAGUUAGGCACGCGCACGGAGAGGCAAGGAUGCCCCUGAGCUACAAAUCUACUUGGCAAUUUUAUUAUGUAAAUAAAUGGUGCUUGCACAUACACCUGCUGCUGCUGCUGCUCGUGGUGAUGUUCAUGGCAAGAUACGUAAACAAACAGCGAUUCCGUUCUAAUAGAUUUAUUUCCUUUCUCCUGAGCCAUUAAAUUACCUCCAGAUUUCACGCAGGUAGAAAUCUGUAACAGUGUCAAAAUCUUGCUCUGCCUCAGUGGACGGUGGCCCACAAAGCGUGACAGCCACCUAUUACUCUCAGAUAUUGUUUCGGGGGAGGCACGGGAGCAGCCGGUAUUAUCCUCGAUGUAUCGGUGUCUUCACAUGUCCUCACCUCCUGCCAGGGCUCCCGCUGCCGGCGGCAGUUUGCGGUGAAGGCAACAGCAACCUCCCCGUGCUGGGCUGAGCUCGGUGGCCACACAGCCCGUGUCUGGAGAACGAGGGUCCUCAUCCAGACCCCUUGGAGCAGCUCCUCCGUCUGACCGGAGGGCAAAGGGCUCUUCCCUUCCAGGGGGUUGAAGCAGAGCUUGCUCUGGACCUUGAGGAUGCUCUGGGCUGGGGUUUGCUAGGAAAUCCAUCAUCGGCACCGGGGCUGGCCAGGCUCUCUGACACCGUGCACCGGUCGACGGGACCUGCAAAGGAGAGCAGCUGGCUCCUCUCCGAGCUGACCUGCCCGUUCGGAACCGCAGGAACGCGUCUCUGGGCUGCAGCCGCUGAGCCGCUCCUCCUCUCUUCCACCCCCUGGCUCCACCGCAGGGUUUUGGCAGCAGGGCGGGUAGCAGAUAGGUAGGGCUGCUGCCAGCGAGAGCGUUGAGGCGCUGUGCCGGGGCUGCCAGUGCCAGGAUAGGUGUUGCUUCGAGAAGCACGGUGCCGGCACUUCUCCCGGCGGAGAGCGGGUGCCGGUGGCUCUGCUGAGCAGAGCUGGGUCGCUGGGGAAGGGCUCUUGCACUGCACCCAGGCAGCACCCGAGCAAACAGGAGCCCUGGAAGUUUCCUCAUGAAUAAUUGGUGCAUUAUUAAUAUGCAUGUGUUUUUUGAAGAAGUUUCAAACUCUUCCCCUCAGGAGCCUUUGAUGCUUUAUUAAUGCUUGCGGUGCACAGCAAACCCUCGGUACACCGCCACGGGAGCAGUGCCUUGGAGCAGCCCCAUGCCCCUGCAGAAGCAGCUUAUUUAUUUUUUUUGGUCAUUGUCUUCUCGUGAGCCCAGGGAAACGACCAGGUAGACCUGAGUAGCCCCGAAGAGCCGCUCCGGUGCUGUGACAGGCUGCGGAGGCAGCAGCAAGCCGGCCUUUGGGAGCUCGGCAGGGCUCACGGCCGUGGUCUGCGCAAGAUGGGAAAGGUGUGCAAAAGGAGAAAGUUGAGAUUUCAACUUUACGCCCUGGAUCAGGAUUAACAGGAACUUUCUCGAGUCCCCUUGUAACUCAGAAGAGGAUCCAAGACCCUGUGGAAAGGACAGGAUCAAGGGUUGGCUCAGGGUUUUGCUGCCGCGUUUCCCUGCUGAAGCGGCCGGGGACGCGAGGCAGCAGCGGGGGAGCGGGAACGGAGGGAAGGCAGCUUGAUUUCGGAGAACACGUGUGCUGAAGUGCGGGAGUGCUGGGGGUGCCGGGGAGAGGUGACGAGCCUUCGGCAGCCCAGGCAGGCGACCUGGGCGAGCUGGGACACACGCUGCUGCACAACCGGCCUCCGCAAAGGGACCAAAAUCCGGGAUUUCAGAAGUGCUAAUUCCUGUUAAUUAGCUACAAUUUGUGUUCGUAACCUCUGUUCUUAGCCAAGAUGGCUGACAGCGGUGACAAACAUUAUUCAUUUCCAUGCAAUAAAUCAAGCUAAAGUUGCUUCUGUUAUUUAGCCUAUCAUUUAGCAUUUCAUUAAAUAGAUGUGUACGCAUACAUCAUUGCUGCCGAGGCUGUGUCAAUCCCCUUCAGGAGCAAGCCUGUCUCUAAUCAAUCCCACCGGCGCGGCACGCCGCGGAGAGGCUCCGGAUUACCGCGUGCCAGGUCAGCAUCUUGCUGAGCAUCCACCGGGCUUUGGGAACUCAUCGGCCGGUUGUACGCCCACUGUUCAACCAGAGAGUUGCUAACAGCGAUGCUGCUCCUAAAGGGAGAUGUGGCUCGGAGAGACGAGGUCUCUCUGGAUGGAUGAGAUCGGAUUCCUGAGCUGGGGGCUGACCUGCAACCGUCUGCAAGGUCCCUCUCGAAGGACGGAUGCUUCUGCCGGGCUGGUGCUGGGUUUUCCAUCAGCUCCGGCAUGGAAAGAGCAGCAGCCGAGGGGCUGAGCGUGCCGAGCUUGGGCUCAGAGCUGCUCGGCGUCACCUUUGGUGAAUCGCUUAAUUUUUACACCUCUGGUGGAGGGGAGGUAACGCCGGUUCGUGGGAGCAUUGCUGCCGUGCGCAAUAGCGGUGAGGUUGUAAGAGUGAAGCGUGGGUGGCAGCGCCCCAGACGACGGCACGUGGUGGAGGGCGAGGAGUGGCACCGUGGUCCCCUCUGUUUGCCGCUCCGUUGGCCCUGCUGAGCCGGAGAACGUGUUCAGAAGUAAAGGCGAAGGUCUGGCAUUAAAAUGAGCCUGGAGCUUCCAAAAGUAGCAAAAUGCCGGCACUCCAGUAAGUAUUUCUGGGCAGACGCAGCUCGUAGCGCUGAGGAGCCUGUUCACCGGCGCGGAACAGCAGCUACUGCUGCCGUGCAGCCACAGCAGCGCUGGGCUCUCCUCUCUGUGCCGAUGAGCUGGGGGUGCUGAGCAGGGCAGAGGUGCUGGAGCUCUCCCAAUUCAUCCGUGAGGUCCGGCCUGGAGCGGGAGCUCCCCUUCCUUGCGCAGGACCCCGGGGUGCUGCACCCGGACCUGGGCACCGCGGGGUUCAGCCCGGACCCUGCUUUGCCGCAGCAUCUUCUUAACCUCGCGCUGUGCUCGGGGCGUUCUGCUUGGACUGCCCAGUCCAAGCGGCUAAUGGGAGCAGCUCCGAUUUGCCCGUGCGGCACCACGCGUUCGGUGCCCUCCCUUUCCCAGCGCUCCAUAAAUAAAUUCCCCUAGUCCAUCCUAGCACACUGUAUCAAUCUUGUUUAAUAGACUGGAAAGCUUAUUGCAUGGCGGCAGGUCGCGAGGAGUGUCGAGGUGAUGGAUUGCGCCUUCCCGGAGUCGAGCGUCGUUGAUGUAUAAUGAAAUAUUUAUGAUUUAUUCCAGCUAAUAAACUGGAGUGAAGUGUGUGAUGUAUGUGAGCAGAUGGGGGAUCUAUCGAUGCAGUUUUCAUUGCAUGGGGGGAGGGAAACGGAGAUGUGUCGCAGAGCCUCCCGUCCCUCUGCCCAUCAAGGUGGGCGCCCGGCCGCAGAGAGGACGGAUUAUCUAAUUCCUAUAGACGCCCUUUAGCACUCGCCUUCUAAUCGUUUGUCCACCCCACGUCUCCUCUCACGGCUUUUCUCAAGCACAGGAACCUCUGGCAGUGGGAUGAAACCGUUUCCUUGGGCUUGGGGCUGGGAGCUGCGCGGGGAGUUUGUGCCGAGAGGGACGGGAAAACCAUUCCUCUGCCUGGCCGCGGGCAGAGCGGCCGCAGGAGCGUCGCUGCCACGUCACGCUCUGCAGCUUCCCGGUCCCACUGUGUCUGCGUUACCUCCAGAAAAAUAACUUCCAUGGAUUUAGGAGACCAGUGAGAUGCUGAAUUGCCCUGGAAAGAGCGCGGAAAGUUGAAACCCGUGACAAGAAUUGCUCGUCCAGUGGCGUGAUGGGCACGUGGAGCUCGCUCUGCGGGAUGCUCCCGAAGCCCAAAGCUCGGUGUUCAGGGCGGGAAGGAACAUUUCUGCGGUCUCCUGCUGGGCUUUGUCUAACAGCCUGGCGUGGACCAAAUCUGCAGGCAGGAACCUGGCCCUGCUCGGCAUCUCCGGAAAAGCCGUGCCCAAAGGCAGGAGGACGUGGCUGCCAGCUGUGGUCCCGCAGCUGCCUUUGGGUGGGCAGGGUGUGCGUCAUCGCUGGGUGGGCAGGGUGGCCAUCAGUAGCCUCGGCUGGCCCCCGCGUGCCCCCAUGCAGCUGUACGUGCUGGUGAAAGCUGGCCCAGGCACUGAGACGCGCUCCUGCAAAGCCUUGUUCAGGCAAAGGGGGUGUGAGCCCCCAGAUUUUUGCUCUGCUCUCCAAACCGGUGAGAGUAUCAGGAUGAGGGCUCAGGCUCUUCGCUGCCUGCCCAGACUGUUGGAUCAAUCCUGCCUGGAAAAUAAAUCAUCGUCUUAAUCACUGAUGCGUGUCUCUCUGAAGAGGGUGAGCUCUGCCUCAGCCUGGGAUGGACCAGGAGCAUCACCAACCAUCUGAGCGAAGCGGGAGGCAGGCAAGAGUUAAUCCCAGGGCAGAGCAGAGAUGGAUGCACAACCUCCUGCCCACUGCUCUGCCGUCUGAGCAGCGCUUCGCACCCCACCGCUGUCCUGCCAGCUGUUCCUGGUUCUGCCUAAUUGGCCUCCGGAUCGGGUGCUUUGAGAUCCUCGGCUGAAAGGCACCGGGGAAGGGCAAAGACUGAUGAUCCCGACUGCCUCCCUGCAAGCUUCCCGGGGGUCUGCCAGCUGGGAGCCUGCAGGUCCCCCCCGCCACGCUGCUUUGGCGAGAGCGGCAAUUCCCCCGGUACAGGCAGCGCAGAGGAACGCAGCAAGGCGAGCGCCUCGCUCUGUCUCUCCUCUUCAACUCUGGAAAUGAGGGAUCGUCUGCCAGGAGAGCAGCUGACAGCAGGGGAUUCCUCCUGGAGUUUGGAGGGGGGGGGAAAAAAAGAAAAGCUCAAAGGCUCCCAAAAGAGCAGGUGUCGAGCCCGGCGGGAGCGGAGCGGCGGCAGCGUCGCGGCAGGGCCGGGAGCUCGCUGCAACCAGCAGCACAGAGCUGGGGGCAGCCGUGCCGGCAGGGCAGGGGGAGCCCAGGCUCCAGUUUGGGUGGGGAGCAGCACCCCCGUCUCCCCGAGACACCCCCUGACAGCCCCUCGGCAGCCGCCCAUCAGCGGGAGCGGGGCCGGCUGGGGGUUGUUUGCUCGGCGCAGCCAAAGCAGCCGGUGCUGGUUUCUCACGGUGCUGAUUUCCACAACAGCAGGGCUGGUCCUGAGCCGGGCUGGGGGGCACGGUCACGGGCCAGGGUCGGUGCUGCGGCACGGCAGCGUGACCCAUCGCAACACUUUCUCAGGGACCGUCCGGGAUGGGCUGUCAACGGAGACCCUCCGGGGCGCUUGGCGGGGUCUGAGGAAGGUCUGCGGGCUGUGCCCGGCCAUCCUGCCCUGGCCACGGGCAGCACGGGGGGACCGGCCCCACGUGGGCAGCCACACGCGUCUCUUCUGCGUCCCUGCGGGUCAGCGUCUCCUGGAAUAGUGGAUGCGAGAAGUCCCUGCUCUCCAGCCCGGCUCUCUGAGGAGCGCUGGGCUCUGCAAGAAGCAUUUUGAAAGCCAAGACUUAAUUUGCAAAAUCUGGAAUGAUUCAUUAACAGCAAAAGGUCUAAUUAAUAUUAGAAAGUGCUCAAACCACACUCUGCUGCUGGCAGGGAAGAGCCCACCAGCAUCCCCCGCGCCGCUCCAGCCCCGGGGACCCGGCUUGUCUCCCUGGGCUCCUCACCUUCACGGUUUUCCACAGGCGGUUCCGAAACCUGGAAAAGCCACUCCAGCAGCCAGGAAACUGUUAAACGAGCAGCUCCAGCCUGCUGGGUCAGCAAGCACUUUCCACCAGGAGCAAAUCACUUAGCCAGUACCGUGGGGCGGGCGAAGGCAGCGUGCCAAGCCCAGCUUUGCCUGAGAGCACCCCCCGUUUACCCGGGGCGAGGGCUGUGCCCCACGCAGGGGGAUGUUUUGCAGCAUCUGAUCAAGACUCUGGAGCUCCCCGUGAGAGCAUUAGCUGCCACCGUGGCAGGAGGGUAAAAAUAAUCCACUUUUUUUUCUUCUCAACGAAAUAGAUUCCCUUUCAAAGGGAUGUUUUGCUGUUUCCAGGCGUUUUCUGCUGUGGCACUUGGUCUGCAAAAGCACCGUGUAAGUGUGAGCAGGAGCGGCACGGGCGUUCACAGACCCUUGUGGGGUGCUUUUGACCCUGGGGGGAACAGAGUCAUCAGCAUCCCAGCUCUCCUGUCUUUCAGGGGCCGCAUCCUCAAGCCAGGCCGGGUCAGAUAUCUGAGCAGGGCUGAGGCUUUCUUAAGGCUGGACUCAAGUCCAGGGCACUGCCAUCCCUAGCCUGCUGCUUUUCCCCGCUGCUGAUGUGCACGAGUGCUGCCGUGCCAAACAUUACCGGUGCCAGAUCCUGCCCAGCGACGCAGCCGGGGAGGUCCUGAGCGAGUCUUCCAUAUCGCAGCUGCAGACAGCAAAAUCCGCUCCUUCUGGUGCUGCCGGGCCAGGCUCUGCGCGCGGUGUCGGUAAACCCCGUGGCUGUGGUUUGCAAACCUUGCAGCGUGUGCUGGGGUGCCUGCCUGUCCUGCCUCCCAUCUGCCGGUGCGGCACAGCGAGCCGCUUGGGAAAACGCCUGGCACGUCCCUUCUGGGGAGCGUUAAACACAAAGGAAUAGGGGUAUAAAUAACGUGGGGAUGGUGAAAAACCUCCCAGAAGCCAGGAAAGGCCGUGCGACAAUUUGCAAGUCAGCGUCGCUCUCACAUCGUCCCGGCGUGCCGGUUCCCGGCUCGCAGAGCCGCAGCUGAAGCUCGCACGUCGCAGCGCAGCCGACGCUGUCGGUGCCGCAAAGCUGGCGCCACGUGUUACCAAACAAUCUUUCGUCUCGCCGUCCUUUCAGGUACCUGGUGACAUCUGUGCCCGGUGAGCGGGGAUGUUGUGUCAGCACCGGCUGUGGCCAGGCUGGGCUUCUCCUGGGGCACAGCACCCGUUUGCGGGGCUGAGCUCUUUGCUUUCCUCAUGAUUUACCUGAAAAGGCUCAUUUUUUUUUUUUUCCUGCACACUUGUGCUAUCUCAGAGCUCCUUCAAGCUGCUCAGCACCUCAUUUCACCAGCCCAAGUGUUCUCUUGGUCAAUAGUAGGUUCAAAUGUUUGCUCAUCGCACCUUUGAUGGCGAAACGUUGCAGUGUUUGCCAGGAACAAGCUGACCCGUGGCUGAGGGUGUUGGCACAGGAGCUCGGGGCAGGGUUUUGCUCCGGUGGCUCUGCUCUUUGUUCAGCGUGGGAAGGCGGCUCGAGCACGCCGUUAGUGGCCGGGAGAGCUCUAACGAAGGAGGGGCACAAACUAAAGGCCGUAGUGGCAGAAUCACAAGGGCCCUUUCAUCUUUGCAACAAGUAUUUUGCAACUUGAAGAACCUCGUUGCAGAAAUCUCUGGGCUUUGACUUUGGGAAUAAAGUCUCCCUUGCAGCUUCUCUGCUUUUUAGGGUUCGUUUGGGCACGGCGAGCGCCUGCAGUCCAGCGGCCAUUGCCAAGCAAGUGUCCGUAGACAGCCCUUCCCUCUGAACAGGUCUGACCCCAAAGCCUCAUUUUUAAAGCAAAGGUAGCCCGGGAAAGGUCUUUUCUGCAUUUCGCUCAGUGCCUGGUGGUUCGUGGCACGGUUCACGCCAGCCUGCGGUCUCCGCAUGGCGUGGUACCCGCUGAGCCUGCCG